rnacentral:rRNA from 1 species
UAGGGUUUGAUCAUGGCUCAGAUUGAACGCUGGCGGAAUGCUUUACACAUGCAAGUCGAACGGCAGCACGGACUUCGGUCUGGUGGCGAGUGGCGAACGGGUGAGUAAUGUAUCGGAACGUGCCCAGUCGUGGGGGAUAACGUAGUGAAAAUUACGCUAAUACCGCAUACGAUCUAUGGAUGAAAGCGGGGGAUCGCAAGACCUCGCGCGAUUGGAGCGGCCGAUAUCAGAUUAGGUAGUUGGUGGGGUAAAGGCCCACCAAGCCAACGAUCUGUAGCUGGUCUGAGAGGACGACCAGCCACACUGGAACUGAGACACGGUCCAGACUCCUACGGGAGGCAGCAGUGGGGAAUUUUGGACAAUGGGCGAAAGCCUGAUCCAGCCAUUCCGCGUGCAGGAUGAAGGCCCUCGGGUUGUAAACUGCUUUUGUACAGAACGAAAAGGUUUCUACUAAUACUAGGAGCUCAUGACGGUACUGUAAGAAUAAGCACCGACUAACUACGUGCCAGCCGCCGCGGUAAUAC